AUAAGCAUUGUCAGAGAUAACAUGGAAUAAUACAUCAAUAAUUGGUUAGGUGUUAAGUGGUUGCUUCAAUGCUCUGCCUACUGCAGGUGAUGUCACCGGGGCCAUGAGGGUCUCCCACGGUUUACCGGCGCCAUCUUGGUACACGAGGUAGUUAGUCGAUGUUAGGAGGGAGGAAGGGAAGGGGGGGGGAAGGAGCUAGAAGCUUCCAGCAGCCAUCUUAAU